UGUCCAGGUCUCUUAGCUAUACCAGGCCUAUGUGCAGGUCUAUUAGCUAUACCAGGCCUAUUUCCAGGUCUCUUAGGUAUACCAGGCCUAUUUCUAGGUCUCUUAGCUAUACCAGGCCUUCUCAGUGGUCUACGUGGUCUACUUCCAGGUCUCCUUUUCCUAACAGGUCUUUUUCCUUUUAUAGGAGUACUUCCAGAUUUCUUAAGCAUUCCAGGCCUAUUUCCAGGUCUAUUAGCUAUACCAGGCCUAUGUCCAGGUCUCUUAGCUAUACCAGGC